rnacentral:rRNA from 1 species
AAUGAACGCUGGCGGCGCGCCUAAUACAUGCAAGUCGAGCGAGAAGACGUAGCAAUACGUUUGUAAAGCGGCGAACGGGUGAGGAAUACAUGGGUAACCUACCCUCGAGUGGGGAAUAACUAGACCGAAAGGUUAGCUAAUACCGCGUACGCUCCUUGGACUUCGGUUCAGGGAGGAAAGCGAUACCGUGGGUAUCGCGCUCUUGGUUGGGCUCAUGUCCUAUCAGCUUGUUGGUGAGGAACGGCUCACCAAGGCUUCGACGGGUAGCUGGUCUGAGAGGACGAUCAGCCACACUGGCACUGCGACACGGGCCAGACUCCUACGGGAGGCAGCAGUAAGGAAUAUUGCGCAAUGGGCGAAAGCCUGACGCAGCGACGCCGCGGUGGGGA